rnacentral:lncRNA from 1 species
AUGAAACUGUUCAUGAUUCCCAUGGCUUUGCUUGAGAUACCGAUGUCAGGGUGAACUUGUUUCAAAACUUUGAAGAUGUAGAUCUUGUAUGUUUCAACGCUCUUCUUGUUUCUCUUCUUCUUCUUGUCUCCGGUGGCGGCAGAGCCAACUUCUUUAGGAAGCUUCUUUCCGGCCUUUGGUUUCUUCUCCGCCGGAGCUUUUUCUGCUACUGUCGUCUUCUUCUCCUCUGCGGGUUUCUUCUCUGCUGGCUUCUUCUCUCCCUUUGGCGCCAUUGAUGUGAUUUGGAAUUUGGUUGAAAAAAUAUUAGGGUUUUGAAAUUGGGAAAUUUGGAAUUGAAGAGAGAUGUGGAUGAUUAUCGUAAGAAGCGGUGAUGAUUAAUAUAUAAGAAGAUUCCAGUGUUUGUAUUGGUUAAUGAGCUUCACCGCGGAUCGAUGACGUGGAACUAUUUUAUCCGUUGCGUUUCAGUAUCAUAGGGACAUCAGAUAGACGGUCAGGAUCUUGCAUUGAUUGGGUGAUGAUGCGGAUCGAUGAGCUGGUUGGAACGCAUUUGAGGAUGAUGUGGAUGAUGGAUGGCUGAGAUUCUCUCUCUGUUCCAAAACAAUCUAAUUACUUUUCAUUGCGCGCUCAAAUGGAAAUUUCUACUUUUUAAGUUUCACGCUUUACCUCCAUUUUAAUUUUCAUUCUUUCGCGGAUUAGUUUUCAAAUAGAGUGAUUUGUUUUCAAUUUUGCAAAAAUCAUUUAUGCACGUAAUUUUUUUUAUAUUUUAAGUAAUUAUGUAGUAUAAUAUAAUUAAAAACAUUUUAUUUUAAUCAAAAGUAUUAAUUUUAAAUAAAAUUAUAAUUGCCAAAUAUGUAUAAAAUUAACAUCUUUAAUUCAUAUAUUUUAUUUUAUUUUAAAAAUGUAGGGUUUUACAAUUGAUUUAAAUUCACACCCUUAAUUUCGGGAUGGAUCCAUAAAUUUGAAGUACUUAGAGCAUCUCCAACGGUAUUUAAUCAAUCCGUGAGUUCACACCGUUAGUGGUGGACGUCAUUUCAUCAAUUCGUGACCGUUUGAUUAAAAAAUUAAUGAGUUAUUUUGAUAUGAUAUGACAUGGUAGACUCCAUUUAAUAAACUCAUAUCGAGUUCACCGUUGAAGAUAAUCUUAUGAUAAUAUAUAUAAAAAUUUAGAGUAUUAAAUAUGUAUUAAAUUUUAUUUUUUUAAACAUAACUAUAGUCGUAAUAGUUUAAUGUGAUUUUUCAUAUUUUUAAACAUUGAAAAAAAAAAUUAUUGUCAUUCGCAUGUCAUGAAACGAAUUUAAUCAUUCGCAUGUCAUGAAAUUUCACAUCACAUCUGAUUCUUAAUAGUACUAAUUUUUAAAAUAUUUAAUUAUUUAAUAUAUAUUUAUCAAAUGCAUAAAACGAUUUUUGUGAUACCCUGCACAAAGAAACAUCUCACACUUAUGUAUAACAAUAAUUCUACUCUUAAUAAGAACAUAUCAUAUAAACUUUUUUUUUUAAUUACAUCUUACAAAAUUUAUUAAUAAUUGCUACUAGUAGAUAUAAGAAUUAUCCAAUCAAUUAUUCAAGUAUAGGUACGAAUGGCAAUGGCCAAUUGGGUAAUGGCCAAUUGGGUACCUAAGUCUAUAUAUACAUACUGUUAUAUUGAUACUCGUAUUUUAAUUAAAAUAGAUCAAUAAAUAAUCGAUAUUGUUAUAAUUAAAUUAAAAAAUAAUUCAUAUUACUUAAAUCUAAAUUAUAAAAUAUUACAAACUAAAAUAUUUUUUAAUUUAAAAUAUCCAAAACAUUUUUCAAAUUAGCACACAUUACAACAAACAUUUAAACAUCCUGAUUAAUAUUUUAUGAAAUUGCAAGUCUUGGACGGUAUUUUUCGAUAUCUAUAUAAAAAAAAUUGAUAUGUAUAUUAAAUUAGUCAAGGACAAUUAUAAAGUCAUGAUUAAUAACAUUAAACUCUUAGUUAUAAAAUUAUCAUUAUUUACCUAUUCAUUAAAAUCAGAUUCUUAAACAAUUUGCAAAUAUUAUUUUUUUCAAUUAUAAAUAUUGUAGUUGUCCAAUAAUAUCAAUAUAUGCUAAAAUAUUAAAGAAAAUAAAUUGUUAAAUUAAACACAAAUAUAAUAUAAUAAAUAAAUAAUAUAUUUUAUAUAAGGUCAUUGCGGGAUUGGUACUAUAGACUAUAGUACCCUUACCUGCACUCAUGCCCCAUAUUCAUAUAUGUUAUGUGGAUUUUUACACUAUUUAUUGUGAAUUUUUUUAUUUAUUUGUGGGUACCCACUAAAUCUAAUUGUCAUCCCUGAGUAUGGAGUUAAAGAUAAAAAAAUAAUGUCACAUGUUUGAUAAUAUCUUUAAAAAUAAGAGAUGUUUUAUGCAUCGGUCGGACCAAGUUAAUUAUCCUAUUGAAGGUUGUCUAUGAAAAUGAAAUUCAUGUUUAGUAGACCAUAAAUUAGGAAUACUAGUGUGUAGUUCAUGUCAAACACAAAAUAUAUAAUCGGUUUAAUAAAUUUUUUAAUUUUUUUAAUAUUUUUAAAAUUUUGUUGACUCAUGCGAGAUAUGUCGUAAGUAUAUUUAAUAUAUGAUUAUGAUCAUAAUAAUUUAAGUAAACUAAAUUCAAAUACUUUUAAACGAUAAAUAGUGUUAAUAAAACAAAAUUAAUAAUAAUUCAUGUAAUUUUUAAUAUGUAUGAUUUACAAUUGAACUAAAUUCAUCAUCAUAAAAACAUAACUAAUGUAUUUGAUGAUUGCCUUUUUUUUUUUUAAAAAAAAAAAAAAAAAUCUAUAACUAAAGCACCAAAUAAACUCUUGUCUGAACUUAGAAAUAAUGUACAAAUUUAGUCAAUCAAUUAUGUCAUUCAUUACAGAUCAAUCUACUCGUACAAAAUUGUUGAAUUGAAACAAUUAUGAAUAAUUUAUUGAAAAUUGUACUCAUUUUUAGGUCAAUUAUAUUUAAAAUAUAUAUUAAUUAACUAAUUCUUUAAUGACAACUAUUUAUCCUGUUUACAAUUUUGAUAAUAAAUUAUAAUUAUUUUAUUUUUGUUUAAAAGAUAUAAAAAAAAAUUAAUUAAUAAAAAAUAUUUAUCUUGUGUAUCGGUUGUACGUUCUCAAAGUUUCUUUAGCGACUAAUAGUUUGGGCCUUGUAAUUAUUCUCAUUUUUAUUAUAGGAUACAAAAUUAUAGUUUAUGUAUUUAUUCUCAUUUUUUCCAUCUCGGGUACCAUUUUUUUUUAAUUAAUUAUAUAAUUAAUAUAUCAUAUUUAUUCUUAUUUUUAAUUAGUAGAUAUAAAAAAUAAAUAUAAUUAAUUGAUUAAUAACAAAUCAUAAUCCCGUGUACAAAUUAUACGUCCAACAACUUCUUUAAUAAUUAACUUCCAUAAAAAAUAACAUAAAAAAAUUUUAAAGUGUCAAAAUUUAUAAUUAAUGUAUUAUAAUUAUUUUAUUUUUAUAAUGAUGAUAUUAAAAAAAUUACAAAUUUUAAUUAAUUCCUUAUAGAAAAACAAUUAUCUCUCGUAUGAUUUAUAUAAUAAACUAUAAUUAAUGUAUACUAUCGAGCGCAUAUGGGAGUUAGACUACACAAUGUUUCGUGUUCCCAUAUUUGGUUGCAAGUGGGUCAAUAAUAAUAAUGACGUUCAAAUUGACGAGUUAGAGUUCUUGCUUGUCGAUUUUAAUAGGGUGAGAUACAAAGAUGAGCAUUUUAUUUUAGCGUCGCAAGUUCAACAAGUGUUUUACGUCACUGAUCUUGCUGAUGAUAAAUGGUUUGUUGUCAUGUCGACCAAUAAAAUAAGUGAUGAUAACAAUAAUAAUGAAGAUGUUGGUAAUGAUCUUUUAUUUGCAACAUCACAACCACGUAAAAUUGAUUCAACUGAUGAUGGUUUAUAUCUUAGAGAUGAUCACGAUGAGGGAAUUUGGAUUAAUUCAUUGUUUCAUAUUGUUAAUGAACAAACAAAUGUGAAUACCACCAGAAAAAAGAAGAAUGACAUCUUAAUGUGUUUAAUUGUUUUAUAUAAGUCAUAUAAUCUGAACUGAGUUCAUGUAAUUUAAUUGUUUGAUCUGCAGAAUUGAACAUUUUAGUAUUUAGCUUGAACUGUAUUUGAUUUUCUGCUUAUACUUAUUUUCUACUUAUAUUUAGUUGAUUUGAUAAUGUAAUUUAGCAUUGAUAUAUAUAAAAACAAAGAAGCCUUUUAAAGCGCUCCGUGGAAAAGCGUUGUAAAAGGGUUUUAAAAAAAUAAAAUAAUGAGGUUUUUUACAGAGCUUUUUCAAAAAAGCGUUGUAGUAGAGUUUUAUAUAUAACAGUAAACCGCUUCAGUUUCAUCUUCAUUACGUAAACUUCAUAUACGCUUGUUUCCUCCUCCUCUUCAUUCUCCUUCUCAUUGGGAACCCUACGAACAAUAUUGCAUUGUUACUAACCAUUUUUACAUAAACUUCAUACGCUUGUUUCUUAUUCAUUCUCCAUUGUGAACCAUCUUUUUCUGCGAACCCUACUCUCCAUUACGUAAACUUCAUAAGCUCGUUUCUGCGAACCCUAUUAUCCUACGAACCAUUCGUAUUUCUUCGUUGUUCUUCUUUGUUCGCAUUUAUGCGUUGUAACCCUACUAUUCUUCUAUUUUUCAGGUAUUAUAUUUAUUAAUUUUUUGUUGUCACUAAAAUGCAUGUUGAACUUAUACUGCUACGUACUUAGACUAUUGCAUGUUGAACUUGUUGAAGUUAUAUUGAACUGCAUGUUGAACUUGUUGUAGAUAAAUGGAUACCAACAAGGAUUUAGAUCGUCAAAAUGAGGAAUUUGUCAACCCUAAGACUUAUGAAAAUGAAGUCAAACAUGGUGCAAUAAUCAUGCAAAAUGUCAUAAAAGCAAGGAGUAGUGGCAUAAAAUUCGAGGUAUACUAUACUUUGUUUGCUGUUUAUUUUUUAUCUUUUUUGAAAGCAUGUACUUACUAUAUGAAUUUAUUAGGUUGGAUGAAAUGAGAGUGGUCAGCCAAUUGACCCCAACAGUUCAAUGUUUGUAAGUUAUAUUGGGGCUGUUGUUCGUUAGAAUAUCCCCAUCACAAUUGACGAUUAGAGAGAUAAGGGGUUGAAGGAUGCGAAAGAUAUAUUGUGGGCUGAUAUACAAGUAACUUUUUUGAUCCACUUUUUUGUUACUUAUAAUUUUUUCCAUUGAAAUACUUUACUCAAACUAUAUCUUUAUUUCAUUUGCAGACUGUUUUUGCUGUUGACGAUGUGAGAAAGGCUUACGUGUUGAGAGUUGCCGGGAAGAUACAUCGGAGUUUUACAUCUCACCUCUCAAACUGUUAUCUAAAAGAUCGUGAAGGAAAUAUGAAUGUUUAAGCUCAAAAAAUAUACAAACAUUAUAUAUCUAAUGAAGAAUGGAGCGCAUUUGUAGCAAAAUUUUCAGAUCCCGCGUUUGUGGUAAGUGAUUAAUUUAUUAGCAUUUGUGUUUUAUUAUUCAUAUUCAUAGCGUAUUUUAAAUUUUUACACGAUUGUUAUUUUUUUUAUAUAGAAUAUAAGUAAGGCAAGUCGCGAGAGGGCAAAAAAUUUGACGCACCAUACCAAAAAUCUCUUAUGGGAUGUGCACGUCUAGAGAAAAAACUUGUAAGUAAUUAAACAUCACUUUUAUAUAAUGUGGUACAUUAUAAACAAUAGUUUCUAACUAAUGUUUUGUUUAUGAUCUUAACGAAUAGCUACAAGACACUCAAUCCGAUCAACCGUUGGGUCGUCAUAUCUUGUGGAAGGAAGCUCAUGUAAAUAAAGAUGGAGUGGUUGAUAACGAAAAUGUUCAAAAAGUAAUAGAACUUUGUGUAAGUAUAUUAUCACUUUAAUAUUUUUUAGUAUAAAUUAUAUCUAUGGUCCUUUAACUUAAUUUCAGGUAACGUUUUAGUCCUUUAUCUUUUUUUUUUUUCCCGACUUGGUCCUUUAUUUUAAUUUUAAGUGACAAUUUGAUAUUUUAUGUUUUAAAAUUUCAAAAAUGUUAUCCUUUUUUAUACAAAAAUUAAAAAAAAAAAUUCAAUCAAAACUCAUAAAAUUAAUUAUAUUUUUCAAUAUAAUACAAAUUUCAUCAAAUGCGUAACGCAAAUCUUCAAAUAAACUCAUAUUUUCAUACUUUAUUUGAUAUUGUUAGGAAUAAAGGACUAAAUCGGGAAGAAAAAAAAAGAUAAAUGACUAAAACGUUACCUGAAAUUAAGUUAAGGGAUCACAGAUGUAAUUUAGCCUAUUUUUUAAUAUUAUAUUUUAAAAAUGAUAUUGAACUCAUCUUUUUAAUCCUACGUGUAUUUUAGGAGAAUCUCGAACAUAGUUCGGAAAAUCAAGCGGACAACAAAGCUAGUUGCAGGGACAUUCUCAGUAAAGUGUUUAAUGUUCCUGAAUAUUCUGGUCGCGUGAGGGGGAAAGGAUUUGGCGUAACUCCUAAAAGCUAUUUUUCACAAGAGAAGCGUCAAAAUCCAUCUAAUGAGGAGGUAUUAGAGAAGCUCAAAUUCCUAUCAGAGCAAGUGUCACUCUUGGUGAAGACGAAUAAAGACAAGCCACUUCCGGAUCAGCUCCAACAUGAAAUACAAAUGGAGAGUGAAAACGCGAGUUGCAAUAUUGGUCUUAAAAGUCUUCCCGAGGUAAUUAAUUACUUAAUAAAAUAAGAAAAUUAUUCGACCUAAUUGUUUCACAUACUUAUGUAUUAACCAUUGAUUUAGGGUGUCACUCCUUGUGUGAUGUACUUAUCCUCCCCUACUCAUAGCAAGGUCGGAAAAGGAACAUUGUACAAUACUUUGGAAGAAGUAUAGCACAACACACCGAUCCAUGCGAGACAUGUCAAAGUAUCACCAAUUAUUGAUUUGGAACCAAAUGCACCGUUACCUAUACCGAACGAUGAUGCAUGUAUGAAUUAUUUGGGCGAAGCAAUUGGUAGUUAUGUGGCAUGACCCACACAUCUUGUUGCCCUUGAUAAGGUAUGUUUAAUUAAUUGAAAUGUAUGUUUAAUUGAUAUGUAUAUUUAAUUGCACGAUAUAUGAUUACGAUUGAUUAUAUUUAAUUGCUGAUUUGUUUCCGUUGUUAACUUUAAUUUCAUAUUUAUUUAGAUUCAUACAAAGUAUAAAGGGAAUGAUAAGAAGAUUCCCAGAAACGAGUCAAUCACAUCGCCAGAAAAGCUCUGUCACAUUUAUUUUGUAAGGUUUUUUAUUUUUUCAGUUUCAAUAAACUAAAAAACUAAUUAACCUCAUUUUUUCAUAUUCAAUCCAAUAAACCACCCGCACAGCAAACCAGCUGUCGCACCACAACUGGAUUUUCGUGGUAAAAAUAAAGCCGGCAAAGUUGCAGCUCUAAAACUGGAUCAGAGAAAUAAAGUUACCAAAGUUGCUACUCAAAAACUGAAUCGAGGAAAAUCAGUUGUUGCUCUUGCUCCUAAAAUAAGUUAGUCAUGUCUUGCUCGAUAUGGGAUGUGUCUUGACAUAAAGGUAAAAACGAAUUGGGGCAUCAACAACGAUUCGUGCAUCAUAAGCAUGGAUAAAACUAUAUUCGGAGAUGAGUAUGAAGAACUACUUGAAAAAAGAGCACAUAUACGAACUUCUCAACCACAAGGAGUUGAGUGUUACUGUCAUCAGCUUAUACAUUAGGUAAAAAUUACUUUUAAAAUAUUAGUAUGAGAAAUUUUCAAAAUUUAACUAUUAAAAAUUAUAUUGUUGAAACUAAAAUGAAAUUAUUUAUUUUCUUAUUUAGAUUAUUGUUGAAUAAAUUUAUUAUUUUAAUUAAUAAAUUCUUUUAUUUUUUUAAUUCAAUAAAGAUAUAAUUACUCCCAAUGGGGGUUAAGUUUAAUGGCACGAGUUAGACUUUCACAAUAAAGUGAACAUGAGUUCGAAUUCUCACUAUAAAAUUAUGUUUAGUGUCCAGCUCAACUCGAAUAGGAUUAUCUCUAGUGGAGGGAAUCUAUGGUAAGGGACUUCGAGACUUUAAACAAUUGGUUAAAGAAUUCAAGCUAUCACUCAUGUGUAUCAAGAAAAUUUAAUUGGAAGAAGAGAACCAAAAUUGUGUGCUACGUAGUUUCUAAUAGAGAUUAGUCGCUGUUAAAUAUAGUGGUAAAUAAUUUAUACAUAUAACAUGCUAAAAAAGGAUUGAAAUAUUUGAGAUUAAAUUUAGGUUAAAAAAUAUUAUAAUUUAAUUAUAUUUGAGUUUUCUUUUGUUAAAAAAUGGUUAUGUUUUAACGGCGUUACAAUUUUUGUAAUAGAAAUUGGAAGGAAUGACUCAUUUAAAAUUAAAAUGUAUUUACAUGGAUGUUAACCAAACAAAAAUAUUUAUGAGGACCAAAAUCAUAAAAGGUAGUAAUUGUAAGGAUCAAAGACAUGUUUAAAAAAAUUAGUAAUAUGUAUUUUUUUAAAAGUUAAUUAUUUUAAUUACUAUAACUUAUAACAUAUUAGUUCUAAAAUAUUAAUAAUAUUUUAAAAAUUAAAUGGUGUUUAGAGGAGUAUUAAAAAUGAGAUUAAAUAAUUAUUAAUUUUGUUUUAAUAAAAUAAAAAUAGUAAAAUAUAAAAUAAAUGAGGAGACAAGUGGGCUUGACUCAUGUGUGAAGCAUUUAAAUCCCUCCUUGUGCUAAUAAAAUAAUAAUAAUAAUAAUAAUAAUAAUAAUAAUAAUAAUAAUAAUAAUAAUAAUAAUAAUAAUAAUAAUGGGAGUUGUUUCACAACCGCCGUGAAAGCACGAGGAGAACACAACAAAUAGACUAUUGUUUGCAUUGGUGAUCGAUAACUGUUCAAAAAAACUUUCGUUGUUUUUGUCCAAAUUUCAAUAUGUUGUUUCACUCAUUUAGUUAGUCAAUUAAACACAUUUUCUAAAAAAUUUAACCACCUAAGUUUCUUUAUACAAUACUCGACUUCCCCGUUUAUGAAAUUCAUUAUUUUGUAUCAUUCUUUUGAAGUAGUAAUAUUAAUCACAAGAAAAGAGGGGUUUAAAUUGUGAUCCUUUUUAAAUUUUGAUUCAUGUGCCUAAUUUAAAUUAAUUAAAGAUUAAUCUUCGUUGAAACAAAAUGUUCAAAAUAUUAUGGGUAUGUUAGAAGUGAAUAAAUUAGAUUAGUUUAUAGUGAAGUUUGAUUUGUGUGUACAAAUAAUUAAAGAUAAAUGAUAGAAAUAUCACACACACAAAAUAAACUAGUUCACCAAACUUUGUUAGUCCAGUCCUCAUAACUGUUAGGUUUUCACUAUGUGCUUCAGAAUCAGAAUGUUCUCCUUCACGCAUUUUCUCUUGAUAACACCUUGAUCAAUUAUAAUUUUUACCUUUCAACCUAGGAAUGAUUUUUAUAGUCACAUUUCAAUCUUAAAAGGAUUUUUACUAACACACUCAGUCUAACAUAAAAGAUAGAAUUUAGUUACAAAUGAUGUGUAUGAUAAAAGUGUUUGGGAUCUAAUGAUUCUCAACUCUUGGUUUGAGAUAAAUAAAGACAAACUCAAUAAAUAAUGAUCCGCAAAUAUAGUGAAGUGAGUUGAAUUUUCUUAAAGAGUUUUUGACUUGUUCUUACUUGAACAAGUGUUGGUAGGUUUGCUAAUUGAACUAUUGCUUUAAUCUUCUAAUUUAUCUUAAAUUUAUAGAUGAUAAGAGGCUUUGAAUAUUCAGCUUAAACUAAAUAUAUAUGUUAGAUACAUCAGUCAAGUACCAAAUAUGUUUUAAAACAAUUAAAGACAUGUUUAUAUUGUUGUCCAGAACAUUAUUGACAAACCUAGAAUGUUCUUGCUUUUGAGUUUGAUGGAAAACUUGAAUAAGUGUGAGAAUAGGUUGUCACAUGUUUGGUAUUGUUCCAAAUCAGAAUUAUGUAGAGUUUUUUUCUACAAAAUAGUGUAAAUAUAGUCUACUUGUGCUUUGUUCAUAACUCAUCAAUCUGGAGGUUGUUUUGCUUAUUUGGUAUUUCAGCUCGAGUUAUGGGUUUGACCACUGAUUUUAGUGGUCUUGAUACUCUUUAAUUUGUGGUUUGAAUUGUGGAAAUGAUAUGUUUUCAUUUUGUCUUUAAAAGAGAACAACCAAAAUGAUUUUUUAAUAAAACCAUAACGUUUUUGGUUCUGUGUUGUAUGGAAAACAUGGAUGAGUGAUUGAGUAGUUGCUUAGUGUAAAUCCUUUGUCUUAGUUGCAUGCUAAACUUUAUGCAAAAAGUGUAGCAACAUUGUCUUUUCAUGCUUGAUGUAUGUGUUCUUGCACUUAAUUUUAAUUAACUCAAGAAUAAUCUUGGUUGAAGUAAGUUAAUCUCUAGAACGUUUGGAGGUGUUAUUAAAUAAAAUAAUUCACUUUAUAAAAAGAGAAAAUGUGAUUAUGAGUGCAAGAUAAAUAUAGAGACGAGACAAAAAGAUCACACAUGGAUGUAUCUCGGUUCACCAAAAAUGGACUACGUCCAGUUCUCAUAAUCCGUGAGAUUUUCUACUAAUGUAUUGAAUACUAAGACAUUAUGCCUUGUAGUAUUUUUCUUGAUCACACUUUAAUCAAUUACAACUUUCCCUUUCAGCAUUGAAAGAAAUUUCUACAAACGUUUUUAAGUUCAGAAGAAUUUUUACAGGUAUCUUUCAAACAAGAAAAUAUUUUUACAAUACACUCAAUCUAAUUUAAGAGAUAGACUUGAGUUACCAAAUGAUGUGUAUAAUAAAAGUGUUUGAGAUCUAAAAACUUCUCAACUCUUAUUUGAGAUUGAUUAACCACAAGAAUUCAGUAAGAAGAUCCACGAAUAUAGUGAGAGAACUGGAGUUUUUCUUGAGAUAAGAGCUUUCCAAUUUGAACUUAAAUGAUCAAGUGUAGAUUGAUUGCUUUGAAAACUCUUGCAAUUUGUCUUUUGAAUGAUCUUCUUUUUGUAGAGGAGGAAAGACUUGAAUAUUCAUUUAAAACUGAAUAUAGUUGUUGGCCUUUAAUGCCUGGUGUCAAUCUGACUUUCUACAAUUUUCCUCUUGUUUGUAGUAAAUGUCCAGAACAUUCUUGAUCAACUCAUAACAUUCUCCCUUAAACUGAAGGUAAAGUGAAUGAUCAUGCCAACAAUGUUUUUUGCACUACACUUGAGUACUUUGUAUUUGCUUCUAGCUAAUCAACAUGGAGAUCAAAACUAUAGUUCAAUAUGCAUGAGUUUCUUGCAAGUGGACCUUCAUUAUUUGACUUCUUGAGCCUUGUUUACUUUUGGGUGGCUCAUGUGCAAAUUAUAUCAAUCCAGGACAAACUUUUAGUGAUCUUAAAAUUGGUUCAUUUCUCUCUUGUCUUUUAAUAAGACGAUCAUAAUGAACUGGAAUGGUAUGCAAUCAUUAUGUCAUGAAUAUGAUUUUUGACAUUCCUUUGAGUAAUCUUUCAAACCAUUUUAUGAUUUAUAAAAGUGUAUUUUUGUCAUGAUGUGUACAUGAGAUGGGUCCCGAUUUUUUUAUAAAAUCAAUCUUGAUACGUAAAAAUGAUCUUGCAUGAAUAUGCAUACUUCAACAUACGAUGAAUUAACUUUGGUUUUGAUUUUUUGUCGAAAUAAAUACACUCAAAACACAAAUUAAUUAAUAAGAUCACAAUCAUAAUUUUUUAAAAAAAAUAUAUAAUUAAAUAUUUGAUUAUCUUCAAAAAUAUUAACUUAAAGAUUUUGCCUAAACAACACCUUCAUCUUUUGUGAUGUUUCCCCUCUUCGCUGGCCUUUUUAUAAAAACAUUUUGAUUAAAUAAUAUGAUUGUUUAAUAUUUUAUUAGAAAAAAUUCUUUUCUAAUAAAUGAUUUAAUUAGUACACAUCUGUAAUGAAUAGUAAAUUAAUUUGAAUUGAUUGUAACACUAAAUUUAAAUAUAUAUUUUUUGGAAAAUCUUCAAAAUAUACUUGGCAAUAUAAAUUGGUAUUUACAUAUUUUAAAAUAAUUAAUAAGAUUUUAAAUUUGUCUACUUAUAACUAAAUAACCAAUAACAAUAUUUAAUUUUCUUACAAUAUAAAUACGAGUAAAACUAUACUCAAAUAAAUGAAAAAUGUAUCUCAUUACAAAUAACAUCCAAUACUAUUGUAAAAAUUUAGAAAUCGAGGGAUCAUUUUAUGAAAAAAAAUAUGAAGUAGAAGUCUAAUAUAAAUUUGACAUUUAUAUUUUCACUUUUGAUAUCCCAAACUUAAUUAGGUGCAUUACUAGAUAGAAUAAGAAAUAAUUAGAUGAGAUGAUUUUCUAGAGAUGCCACAUAGGCACAAUGUUUGUAUGAGAUUAAGCCCAAUGCUUGCUUAAGAUUCAUCUAAGUUUAGAAUACAUAGUAAUAUAAAUAGAUAGUUGUGUGUUGUCAUUGUUAUUUAUAAGAUAUUAGCCGCCAUUAAUUAGAGGUGUGUGUAGGAAAAAGAUAUAUCACAUUAAAAGACUUUAAAUUUUUAUUAAAAAAAUAGGCAUAAACAAAUAAAUAAAAUAAAGAUUUAAAGAAUAUUUGAAAAUUGUAAUUAAGUUGAUAUUUUUGAUGAUGCAAUAGUUUAAGAAGAGUUUUAUGAAAGACUCUUUUGAGAAGAUGAUAGAUUGCAAAAAUUUCCUUAGAUGUUACCUUAUUACUAUAUAUAUUGUAUAUAUUAUAGCUAGAUAAUGAUGAUGAGGUAUUUGGUGAAAGGUUUGGAUGCCAAAAAAUUGUUAUGAAAACGGAAAUUCGAAAUAUGUUGUUCAUUCGUGUGAGAUUUCAGUUCAUAAAUAAACCCUUAUUUUUUGUUUUUGCAAAGACAGUUUAUUCAAAACUAGUGCGAAUAUGUGUGCAUUUGAAAAACUUGUCUAUUUGAUGACUUAAAAAGAAAAUCAAUUAAUCUCAUUCAUAGGAACAACUCCAAAAUAGAGUUACAGACAACUUAAAAAACAAGCACUAUCACUAUCACACUAAGAUUUUGAAACAACAAUAUUCUCUAACAUAUAAAAACCAUAUACCUUGAUAAAGAGAAAUCUUUCACCAUUUUAGUUCUUAAAAGCGUAUAGCGUUGUCACUUUUGUUUUCUGAUUCAGUUAACAAUUCAAAUCAGUCGUCGAAUUAUUAAAAUAGUAUCCAUAAGAUGCAACUUAUUAUCAUAAAAUUUCUUAAAAGAUAAAAUUUACUGUCAAUGAUCGUUAUAAUGUUAGAGACUAACAUUAUGAUGAUUUGAUGACUACUUUAGAUUUUUGGUUGAAUGAGAGAUAAAAGUGACGGUCAUAAACUUUCAAAUACUAAAAUAUUUAUUUAUCCUACAAAGAAUUAUGGGAAUAUGGUGAAACCUUUCUGUCUUUUGAGAACCACGUAAGGUUCAAAAAGGAGUAAGGAAGAGGUUGAUUAUGGGAAUAGUUGAAGCAUUCAACUAAUUUAAGGAAAAUACAUGUAGUAAUUAAGAUAUUUUGGGAUGCCACUGAGACUGUAUGGAUUGAUAAAUAAGGUGGAAUAGAGUGAUAUUUAAUUAGAUUCUAUCGUUUCAAAAAAAAAAUUAUAAAAUAUGAAUGGAGUGGAAUGGAACCAACUCCAUCAUAUAAUAAUCUCAAUACUAUAAUUUUCCAUCCCCAAUUUGAGGUGUUUCCAAUGGAAUGGAGCUUCAGAAUUAUAACAUUAUCAUUUUAUCUUUAUAUUAUUUGUUAAGAUUAUGUUGCCUCUUCCUCUCUUCAUCCUAGAUUAAGAGAAUGGGUGUACUCAGGUUUGUUACAAUGUUGAGACAAUAUCAUUGUUGGGUAUAAAGAUUCCUAUAAAUAUGACAACUUAUUAUAAAUUCCAUUAUUCUCAUGAAAUUAUUUUCCAGUGAGACAGUGGGAAAGCGUACUGAUGAAAAUCUUCAUUACUAAAUUAUCAAGGAGUAUUAAAUUGUGUCAAAUUAAAAAUUUAAAAACUAGUUACUAUUAUAUUCUUAGGAAAUUCAUUUUUUGCAUGUUAUUUUAUAUCACUUGAAACAAACGUCGCCCUAUAAAUUAGCCAAACAAUGCAAGCAAAGCAAAAUCAUGUAACCAUUAGAAAAAAGAAAAAUAUCAGUGCAAGAAGUCAAAUCCACACACACACAAAAAUUGAAACAGAGAAGUUAAAUAUGAAAACCAAGCGAUGUAAAAAUAACACAAGUGGUGAGAUUACCUUGUUUGAAUAUCUUUAAUAGUCUAACUUAUAGACAUAUAUUGAAAAUGUGAACUACGUUACCAUGUUGUGAAUACAAAUGGGAUGCAUGAUAAACAAACCCAAAUCAUAAUCAUAAGUUAUGAUAAAUGCAAAUUCAAAUAAGGAAUAAAUGAAGAUAAACACGAGAAAAAAUAAAGUCAACCAUAAACAAGCACAAAAGAGAUUAUACGUUGUUAUAAAAGAUUCUCAGAGUAGUAUCAAACAACAAAACACAAGCAAUUACAAUUGAAAUAAGUGCUAGUAUGUUAUGACCAUGUCGCGUGCAUACAAAAAAAAAAAAAAACACUAUUGUCACAACCGAAAUUCAUCCACUACAAUAAAGCAGUACCAAAAUCUCAUUACAUUAUUGACACCAUUGGCACUUAGUAAGUAGACAAACAAAAUCUAAUUAAUUCCAAAUAUCAUUACUUUCACCAUUUUUUAAUACACAAAAGGGAUCAACAAGAUCCCAAACUCCAGGUACAACAGAAAACAGAAAAAAAAAAGAAAGAAAAAACCCUAAUAAUUGAAAUGUCUAACCUAAUAGUGCCUAACAGAAGAUCCAAUGACAUGAAAACCAGAUCAACGUGACCCAAGCAAAGACCACAUAAUCGUUUUAGUUUAAGAACUUGUAAACUUGGUCACUGCUUUGGUUCCCUCGGAGACGGCGUGUUUAGCCAAUUCUCCAGGCAGAACAAGUCUGACAGCGGUCUGGAUUUCCCUAGAAGUGAUUGUUGGCUUCUUGUUGUAGCGAGCGAGUCUUGAAGAUUCUUGAGCAAGCUUCUCAAAAAUGUCGUUAAUGAAACUGUUCAUAAUUCCCAUGGCUUUGCUUGAGAUACCGAUGUCAGGGUGAACUUGUUUCAAAACUUUGAAGAUGUAGAUCUUGUAUGUUUCAACGCUCUUCUUGUUUCUCUUCUUCUUCUUGUCUCCGGUGGCGGCAGAGCCAACUUCUUUAGGAAGCUUCUUUCCGGCCUUUGGUUUCUUCUCCGCCGGAGCUUUUUCUGCUACUGUCGUCUUCUUCUCCUCUGCGGGUUUCUUCUCUGCUGGCUUCUUCUCUCCCUUUGGCGCCAUUGAUGUGAUUUGGAAUUUGGUUGAAAAAAUAUUAGGGUUUCAAAUUGGGAAAUUUGGAAAUAAAGAUGAAUGUGGAUGAUAAUUCUAAGGAGCGGUGAUGAUUAAUAUAUAAGAAGAUUCUAGUGUUUGUAUUGGUUAAUGAGCUUCACCGCGGAUCGAUGACGUGGACCUUUUUUAUCCGUUGCGUUUCAGUGUCAUAGGGACAUCAGAUAGACGGUCAGGAUCUUGCAUUAAUUGGGUGAUGAUGCGGAUCGAUGAGCUGGUUGGAACGCAUUUGAGGAUGAUGUGGAUGAUGGAUGGCUGAGAUUCUCUCUCUGUUCCAAAACAAUCUAAUUACUUUUCAUUGCGCGCUCAAAUGAAAAUUUCCACUUUUUAAAGUUUCACGCUUUACCUCCAUUUUAAUUUUCAUUCUCCUUGUUUUCGCGGUUUAGUUUUUUAUAUUUUAAGUAAUUAUGUAGUAUAAUAUAAUUAAAAACAUUUUAUAUUAACCAAAAGUAUUAAUUUUAAAAAAUUACAAUUGCCACCCACGUAUAAAAUCAACUUCUUUAAUUCAUAUAUUUUAUUUUAUUUUAAGAAUAUAGCUUCUUACAAUUGAUCUAAAUUCACACCAUUAGUUCCGAAAGGGAUCUAUAAAUUUAAAAUAUUGAAGAUAUGAUAUAAAUACAAAUUUAAAGUAUUAAAUAUAUAUCAAAUUUUAUUUCUUAAAAUAUAACUAUAAGUUAUAAAAGUUUUUUGUGAUAUUUCAUAUUUUGAGACAUUAAAAAUAAAUAAAAAAUUCAAUGUCAACAAAAAUAUCUUUAUAUAAAUAACUAAACAAUUAUUUUAUUAUUCACAUCUCAUGAAGUUUCUCGUCUAAUUAUAUUGAUAGUACUCAUUUAAUAAAUAUUUAAUUAUUCAACAUCUAUUUAUCAAAUGCAUAAAACGAUCUCUUAUAUUUAGACAAACUAUCCGGAUAAACAACUGACACUUGUGUAUUACAAUAAUUCAACUUUUGAAAUUGUCAAUAUAAUUAAACCAAAAAAGUAAUGUAAAUUAGCAAUUUUAUAUAUUUUAUUAUGUGAGUUUUGAUUUCAAAUGUAUGGACGACAUUCAUCAAUUAACCAAACUAUUUAUUAUCAAUUAAUCAAAUGUAAAUUUCUUUUUGUUAAUAAGAGAUUCUAAAGAUGUAUUCCCGAUAUUUCAAUUUUGUCCAAACUUAAAAGGUCGAGUUCAUCCUUAUCACAAUCUAUGCAAUUUUUGGAUCAAGAUAACGAUUGAUCAAAGAUAUUAUCAUAGUAUUAUAGUGAUCUCGGACAAAAAAAAAUUGAUCUUAUGCAGAAAUGAGAAUUAGGGUUCAUAACCCUAAUUUAUUUUUGGAAUGGAAUGACCUUUAUAAGUAUUAUGAACGAAAAUUGUCACUAGUAAUAUAAGGAGUUGGCAAAUAAUUUCCAAUAUUGUAUCCAUGGUGCAUAAAUUAAAGAUUGAGCAUGUCAUGCUUAUAGUUUGGAGUAUUCAAUGAUGGAGGAUGAAUUGUAGACCCCAUCCCCAUAAAUUGAGUCGUCAUCACAAUUAACGGAAGUGGUUAGGAAUGACAUAACAAAAAGAAAAAUAAAAGAGAUAAGAGAAAUUGAUAAAGGUUGAUCAAUUAGAAAACACAUUCACCAAUUUCGUGUAGAAGAAUGAAGUUUACAAUGAUGGUUCAAAGGAAUCAUGCAGAAAGAGGCAAGGAUAAAAAAAUUCAAUUAUUAAAUAUAUUAAUGGAUACAAUAAACAAAUAAGGGGAAACAAUCAACUUUUUUUGGGUGUUCAUAUCCAAACCAAUCUAAAAUAAAACCACAAAUUGAUGAAAAAAAAAUAUUGAAUACUACACAGGAUCGAAUAUUAUUAGAUUUUUUAAUGUCAUUUUGUAAAAAAAUCGCAAGAGUCGUAUUUUAAAUUUAUGUUUUAAAUAUUAUUUGUUGUUUUUAAUAUUUUUCCUACUAAUACUUAUUAGUUUAAAAUAGUUUUUGUUUAUAUUUGAUAUAUUUUCAACAUACUUGAUAAUUGUUAUUUUGUAAUGUUAAGUUUUAGUAUAUUGUAUAUUACAUUUUGCACAAAUCUACUAUUUUACCAUAUUUUUAUAAUAUUAAUAUUAACGUAUUUUUACGAUGGUAAUUUGGAUACCCAAAAAUUAAUCUAAAUUUAAAUCCUUAUAAUUGAAUUGAAUAAGAUUUUUUAAAAUGUGUAAUCUAAAUCAAAUCAAAUCGCAUGUGAUUUUUUUGUAAAAUCAAAUUAUUAUUUUAUACUUGAAAAUCAAUCAAAACCGCAUCACAAAGACCUUUACUUUCUAUUACUUACUGUCAUAAAAUAAAAUUGUCAAUAACAAUAUAAACAAAACUCAAUAAGAGAUAUCAUAGUAAGUUAGGUUAUGGUAAAAAUUAGUGGAUAAUAAAUAAAUAAGUUGAUAGCACAUUAACUCACAACAUAUAAGCUAACAUGAAAAAAUGUUAUCAGCAGAGAUGUACUAGUGGAUGAGUAAGAUUGAAUUGGGAAACGAAUGUCAUAACCAACUUCAAUAAUGCAUUGAUAAUUGAUUCUGAAGAUGAUCAAGAAGCAGACCUACUAGCACAACCAACUUCAGAACCAGUAAGAUGAUCUAGUAGAACUACACAACCUUCUAUAAGAUUGCACAAUUAUGAAGUAGUAUCUGAUACAACAACCAAUGCAUACAUAGAAUUGAUGCAUUUUUCAUUACUUGCUGAAUCAAAACAAGUCAGUUGUAAUGAGGCCUUAAAUGAUCCAAACUAAAGACUAUCAUUGGAAGAGAAGCUUAAGUCCAUUGAAAUAAACAAAACUCGGGAGCUGAUGACAUUACCUUUAGACAAAAGACCAAUUGAUGUGAAAUAGGUUUAUAAACUUAAAAUGAAGCCUAACUAUGAGAUUGCCAAGUACAAGGCUAUACUUUUAGCAAAAGCAUUUCUACAAAGGCUUGGACUUUAUUUUGAUGAAAUAUAUGCACCAGUUUCCAUAAUUGAGACAACUAGGCUUAUUGUGUCAAUGGCUAGCUACAAAGGUUGAUCCAUCCAUCAACUAGAUGUGAAGUCAACACAAUUGACCACUGUAUGAAGAAAUCUAUGUAAAGUAACCAACAUGAUAUGAAAUAAAGGGAAAGGACAACAAUGUGUACAUGUUGAGAAAAGCCUUGUAUGGCUUGAAACAAGCACUUAAGACCUGAAACAAGUGAAUUGACAUGCUUCUCUUCGAACAACAGUUUGAUAAAUGUGUGAAUGAACAUGUAAUAUAUGUUAAAGGUCGACAACUUUACCUACACUAAUAAUAUGUCUUUAUGUUGAUGACCUAUUAAUAAUUGGAUGUGAUGAAGCUGAAAUAGCAUAAUUUAAGACAAAAAUGAAAGAAGUGUUUGAAAU